UACGUAGGGCGCAAGCGUUAUCCGGAAUUAUUGGGCGUAAAGAGCUCGUAGGCGGCUUGUCACGUCGGGUGUGAAAGCCCGGGGCUUAACCCCGGGUCUGCAUUCGAUACGGGCUAGCUAGAGUGUGGUAGGGGAGAUCGGAAUUCCUGGUGUAGCGGUGAAAUGCGCAGAUAUCAGGAGGAACACCGGUGGCGAAGGCGGAUCUCUGGGCCAUUACUGGCGCUGAGGAGCGAAAGCGUGGGGAGCGAACAGG
rnacentral:rRNA from 1 species